GGCCGGUUGCACCAACAGGGCUUUAGUAAGCCUGGUCCUAACUGCUAAGUAGGUCUUAGUUAAGACCAGUCUUUAGAGUUGAUCUAACGUCGGUUGCACCAACCAAACUUAAGCCUAGGCGUAACUACGCCCGGUCUUAGCGUUGCGCGUUCAUGUGUUGUUUACCAGCAGCGUGCGUUGCUAGGUUACGCUGUAAACUAUCUUCCGCUGUUUCGUUGUAACGUUAGCCAUAUCGAUGGAGGAGCAAAGAAAAAGAAAAGGAAACUUCACCGACACUGAGAUACGAAAGUUAAUAGAGCUGUACAGUCAGCACAAACACACACUGACUUCCAAGCAAUCAAACACAAUUACAAACCAGAAAAAACAAACAACAUGGAGACAGAUAACAGAGGCGAUUAACGAUUGCUCUGACUCCGGCUGCCUUAGGACAGAGAGCGAUGUAAGAAAAAAGUGGAAAGACCUCCUGAGCAAAGCAAAAAAAGAUUUAUCUGCAAAAAAAACACCACCCGACCGGCGGGGGUCCUCCCCCAAAAACUUCCCUGUACAGUACCAUAAUUGUGGAUAUCUUUGGAGAGGAUUCACCGGCUUUUAUUGGUUUGGUCGGUGCGGAAAGUGGCGGUUCUGACAUGCAAGAAACCCUUGUCUCCCCAGAGAUGGCUGUCGAUCACUCAAUCGAGAGUGUGAAUUGUGAAGACUCGAUGGAGGACCCAGUCACUCCACAAAGUUCUCACGAACACAGCAGCGGUGCACCACCGGUGAAACGGAUGAGGAGGCUGGAUAAUCUGCAGCAGACACUUCUUGAGAAGGAAAUUGUGAGAGUGGAGACUGAAACAAAAAAACUACAGACCGAGCAGGAAAAGUUAGAACUUGAAAAACAAAAAAUAUUGUUAGAAAUACAGUUGCUCCAACAACAGAUAAACAGUUCAUCUUCGCCUAUUUCUGAAGAUGAUGGGCGGUCUUUUGUAUUUCUGUAAAUAAGCCUUAUGGCAAAUUGUGUACAAUGAAUCAAUGACAAUUAUAUGUAAAUAAAAUAAGUUUAUUAUAGACCUA